AUAUUUAUUUGGCAGGGAAGAUACCAUGAUCAUGAAGGUGAUUUUCGCUGAGUGGGGCUUAUCCAUUGCACUACAGAUGUGUUAACCUCUGCGACUUCCCCAAAUGUGGGAAACUCAACAAUAUAAUUUGUGGUAGUAGGGGACUGCAUUCAUGCUCUCCUCCC